rnacentral:rRNA from 1 species
CCCUUAGAUGUCCUGGGCCGCACGCGCGUUACACUGAUGUGUCCAGUAAGCACCUAACCUCUUCCGAAAGGAACGGGUAACCUUUGCAAAGCACAUCGUGAUGGGGAUAGAUUAUUGCAAUUAUUAGUCUUGAACGAGGAAUUCCUAGUAAGCACAAGUCAUCAGCUUGUGUUGAUUACGUCCCUGCCCUUUGUACACACCGCCCGUCGCUCCUACCGAUUGAAUGUUCCGGUGAGCUCUUCGGACUGCGCGGUCUGCAGUUUCUGCGUUCCGUGCGGAAAGUUGCGCAAACCUUAACAUUUAGAGGAAGGAGAAGUCGUAACA